rnacentral:rRNA from 1 species
GACGAACGCUGGCGGCGUGCUUAACACAUGCAAGUCGAACGGAAAGGCCCUGCUUUUGUGGGGUGCUCGAGUGGCGAACGGGUGAGUAACACGUGAGUAACCUGCCCUUGACUUUGGGAUAACUUCAGGAAACUGGGGCUAAUACCGGAUAGGAGCUCCUGCUGCAUGGUGGGGGUUGGAAAGUUUCGGCGGUUGGGGAUGGACUCGCGGCUUAUCAGCUUGUUGGUGGGGUAGUGGCUUACCAAGGCUUUGACGGGUAGCCGGCCUGAGAGGGUGACCGGCCACCUUGGGACUGAGAUACGGCCCAGCCUCCUACGGGAGGCAGCCGUGGGGAAUAUUGCACAAUGGUCGGAAGCCUGAUGCAGCAACGCCGCGUGCGGGAUGACGGCCUUCGGGUUGUAAACCGCUUUCGCCUGUGACGAAGCGUGAGUGACGGUAAUGGGUAAAGAAGCACCGGCUAACUACGUG